UGUGUCAAAAUUUGUCUAAUCUUCUCAAAUUUUGGUAGGAGCGUAGAUACUAUGACUUUGCACAUAUUUGCAAUUGGUUUGUAUUAGCUCCGCCCAACAGGAAGUCGGCCAUUUUGAAAUUUGUGUAAUUUUUACAAAUUUUUAACAAACUCAUUUAAACUGCUCCUAAAGUCUUUGUCAGAUUACCUCUAAAUUAACUGAGAAUGAACAUCAGACACAGUUGAUGAAAAUUGCCAAAGGAAUAAUUGAUCGCUAAAACGGUGACGUAAUGGCGGGCAAUUGAUUGACUAGAGACGCAACACUAAACCAAAGUGAAACCAUGACACAGUCAGAACACAGAUGAUUAAAAAUUCAUGAAACUUGCCAAAAACACAAGAGACAUCAUUAGACACGUUUUCAGUAUUGGUAGGACUGACUCCGCCCAACAGGAAGUCGGCCAUUUUGAAAUAUCUGAAUUUUACAUACAUUUGUUGUGUAUAUUGUCAAACUACUCCUAGAAAUUUUCUUGAAUUCUCUUGGUAUUUGGUAAAAAUAAACAUUAAACAUAUCUGAUGAUAAAUUGUGAAGGAAUAGUCGAUAUCUCAAACGAGGACGAAAUGGCAGAUGGUUGAAUUUGUGAGAUGCCACAUCAAAACAGGAGGUCAAAACCUAGGAAAUGCCAGGUGUUUUGAGGAGGUUAUAACGGAGAAAAACUCACAAAAUUUGACCAGCCUGCUUAUCUAAGGCUGUUGUUUGAUGUAGAAUUAGAAUUUCAAAUACAUGUAUUUUAACAGCGCCAUAGCGCCACCUGUAUUUUAAAUGGAUAUUUCACAUGUUUAACAGGAUAGAAAACUCUUGAAAAUUGGCACACUCAAUAAGACCUCAAAAUUACUUUUACCGGAUUCUCGGUUUGGCCCGGUACGAUUUGCGCUGUUGUGCGAGGGCCCUACGUCCCCCUGUGACAGGGGGACAACUCGU